UAAAGAAGCACCUCUGGGAACACCCACUGGGGCCAGCACCAGAGCUCUUUGUUCAGGGGGCUCAGAGCUGGCAAACUCUAACUAUGCCCUGGGGGGCGGCCCCCAGGAAUCCCCAGAUUCCCUAGGAACUCUUCAGGGGGACUUAGCCUGGCAGGAUCUCUCUGUACCCCUGCAGCCCCUGCCCCAGUGCUGUGACCAUGCUACAGUGGGAACACAGACCUCUCUGGUGCCAAGGAUCUCUUAGCACCAUGCUCACACUUCGAGCUGGUGUGGCAUCCCCCAUCCUUUUUGUCUGAGAGCUGCAGCUGCCACUGGGCUUGGACUCAGGUGGUAGAGAAGAGCUUGGCUGAAAAUCCUCCAGCUUCUCACAGCUGAGUAAGAAAGAGGGGGGUUGUAUAAAACUGAAGACCUCUGUUUUAGCCAAGACUCCAGCAGACCCAAAGAAACCCAAAGGCCAGCAGAGUGGGGUACGUGUGCUGUGGAGGUGGAUUGGACAAGAAUUGACUGGAUUGAAGAGCUUGUGUUGACCUGAGGAUUUUUUUCCUGCAAAGGAAGCUCUGAGGCUCCCACUGGACUUCGUUCACCUCCCAGCACAGAGCAAAGCUGGUGUCUCCUGGAAAUGGAAAUCAGCAGGGACUGCUUGGUGUGAGUGACAGCCACCCAGGAGUGGGAGAUAUUCCCUGGAUUUUGGAGGUAUGCACAGCCUCUGGCGGGGUAUUUGCAGGGAGGGAAAAUAUCCUGGACUUUCCAGCAUGUUGUUCUGCAGUGUGAAACUGGGAUGUGGAAAUGGCUGGAAACAGGGAACCCAGCUCCAAGGAGUGCGUGCUACCUGGGCUGUUGCAUCACUGCGGGGGGAGCAGCUUAUUCAAGACCUUCCUCCUUCUCCCAGGCAAAACUCACCCAAUUCUGUUUGGACCAGGAGCUUUUGGAAUUGCAGGACAGGGAAUAUCUGUACUCAUGUACGUGCUGUCCCCGAUCCAUGGAUCAGAGCUGUCUCCAGCCUCGAGCCCCCUGCGUGGCACCAGCUGAAUGAGCAAGUCCAGCUGCCCACCUUGCUCCUCUCUCCCCAUGGCUGAAGGAUCUCCCAGGAACCUGCCAUAUCAGCUGGCUUCCCAGGUGUUCCCAGGUCUGCACACAGAAGCCACACUGCACGUUGGACCAUCACAUUCCUGACUGCAGGUACAUCCACAGAGGGUGAAACAGCCAAAAUUAAGUUUAUUUCAUGAAAAAAUUAAUGCAGAAGGUGGUCUUCAAUAA